rnacentral:rRNA from 1 species
UUCCGGUUGAUCCUGCCGGAAGCUACUGCUAUUGGGAUUCGACUAAGCCAUGCGAGUCAAGGUGUCUUCGGAUGCCGGCGUACGGCUCAGUAACACGUAGGUAACCUACCCUCAGGACUGAGAUAACCCCGGGAAACUGGGGCUAAUAUUAGAUAGAUAAAAGGUACUGGAAUGUUCUUUUAUCCAAAGCUUUUGCGCCUGAGGAUGGGCCUGCGUCCGAUUAGGUUGUUGGUGGGGUAGUGGCCCACCAAGCCUGCGAUCGGUACGGGCAGUGAGAGCUGAAGCCCGGAGUUGGGGACUGAGACAAGGCCCCAGGCCCUACGGGGCGCAGCAGGCGCGAAACCUCUGCAAUGCGGGAAACCGUGACAGGGGGAUCCCAAGUGCUCAUGCAUUGCAUGGGCUGUUCUUUGGUCUAAGUAACCAGAGGAGUAAGGGCUGGGCAAGACCGGUGCCAGCCGCCGCGGUAAUACCGGCAGCUCAAGUGGUAGCCGCGAUUAUUGGGCCUAAAGCGUUCGUAGCCGGAUAAGUAAGUCUUUGGUUAAAUCCUGCAACUCAACUGUGGGAAAUCUAGGGAUACUGCUUGUCUUGAGACCGGGAGAGGUUAGAGGUACUCCUAGGGUAGGGGUGAAAUCUUGUAAUCCUUGAAGGACCACCAGUGGCGAAGGCGUCUCACCAGAACGGACCUGACGGCAAGGGACGAAAGCUAGGGGCACGAACCGGAUUAGAUACCCGGGUAGUCCUAGCCGUAAACGAUACUCGCUAGGUGUCGGCCACGGUGCGACCGUUGUCGGUGCCGUAGGGAAGCCGUGAAGCGAGCCACCUGGGAAGUACGGCCGCAAGGCUGAAACUUAAAGGAAUUGGCGGGGGAGCACCACAACGGGUGGAGCUUGCGGUUUAAUUGGAUUCAACGCCGGA